rnacentral:rRNA from 1 species
UACGGGGGGGGCAAGCGUUGUUCGGAAUUACUGGGCGUAAAGCGCACGUAGGCGGCUUUCUAAGUCGGGGGUGAAAUCCUGGAGCUCAACUCCAGAACUGCCUUUGAUACUGGGAAGCUUGAGUCCGGGAGAGGUGAGUGGAACUCCGAGUGUAGAGGUGAAAUUCGUAGAUAUUCGGAAGAACACCAGUGGCGAAGGCGGCUCACUGGCCCGGUACUGACGCUGAGGUGCGAAAGCGUGGGGAGCAAACAGG